CGCACCCGUGUGUCGCUUCCCGGAAAGUGGGAUCUCCUCGUGGAAAGAAAAAUAAAGCUUAAACAUCUUGUAGUCGAAGAGCUGUAGACGUCCAGUUCUUGUUGACCCCGGGGCCUGGCAUCUUGCCUUCUGCCAGGGCAGACCUAGUCCAGCCAGGCCCCUGGUGGUAAUCGCGAGGUUUUGUCCUCUGCGAGCUGAGUGUGUGCUGGAGCUGGUUUACCCGCAACACCAGGAUGCAAGUUCCAUAGGGCAGAGCUGGAUUCAGGCAGGGGCCCUUUCCAUUGGGGCGGCCCAGUCCUGCAUAUGCAUUCAGCCCAGCGGGUGCUUUUAUCUGGACUGCACACCUUCCUAGAUGUUCCUGUCUUGAUAAGGAUGAAAGCCUUGGUAGCAAUCUUAAGGAAAUUUAAUUGCUUAUAUAUAAAGGUGUUUUGGAUAUCAGUUAAAUAUGCCAUCCUUAGACUGAGGCAUGAUUGUGCACGUAUGGCAUGUGCGUUUGUGUGCUAUGCGUGUGAGUGUGAGGCUGGUGUGUGCAUGUGUUUGUGUGUACACGUGAUACGUAGCACGUGGGGUCCCAGUGUCUCCUGUCGCAGGGUUACAGCAGCCUCACCCACCACCCAGUGCAUAAAUGGCCCCACCAAGGUCAUGUGCUGACACGAGUGCCUCCUGGGGCCAGGCCCUGUGACCUGGAGGAGGGAAGAGGUUGGGCCUGCCCAGGCAGCCUUCCUGUAAAGCCGAGGCUGGACCGGUUAGGCCAGGAGGGGUGGCAGUGUGGUGAGUGUGGGUGAGCAGGAGGUGCCGGGCCAGCCGAGGGACCUAGGCUGUGCCCUGCUGGAACAUGAAGGAUGCACGGAGGUGAGGGUGAGGGCCUGAGGCACAGCACUCAGCUGAAGGAAGGAGGGUGUCGGGCGUGAUUCCACAGCAUGUGGGGUGGCCCCAUGUGCCACUCAGGUACUGCGCACACCGUCCUGGCCUCAGGGAGUCAGCCCAGAAGGAUGAGGGAGAAACGUUCCUACUGAUGGAGCACCUUACCUGGGCCAAGUGGGGUUCCACCCGUCUGCUGGAGCAAGGCCUUCUUCUCCCUCUCCCAUGCCAUCAGUGCUCCAGGCCCCAGCCCUGCCCUCCUGCAGGUACCACCUGGCCUCAGAAGCUGCAGCAUGUAGUGGGUUUGCCACAAAAUAGGUUUUACUUAAGUUGAACUGGUGUGAAUCCAAAACAUUCUAAGGCUAAUUAGGAUAUAUUUAGGUUCAGUUCCAGAACAACUGAACCAGCUCUGUGGCAUCAGGUUUCUCCCCUCGACAGGGCCGACCUGAGCUGGGUAGCUCUGGGGCAUCCUGUGUGCAGCCUGGUGUUCACCAGCGUGCCCCCACCCACUGGAUGCCAGGAGCACCCCCCCUCCUGGUGGUGACAGCCAGAAAGAGUGGCCAGACAGCCCCUGGUGUGAAGCACUUCACUUCUCUGGUCUUAAUGUUGUCAACUAUGACAGGAUUAGUGUCACCUGUCUUACCUUGGACCCCGUAACAAGGACUGGGAUGCAGGUGGUCCAUUUGGGAGGUGAUAACAGAGCUCAGGUGGGAGAUUAAGGAAGGAGAGGGGUGGGGUGUGCAAAUGGGGCACAUCAGGGCACUAGGCUCCAUCCUACUGUCCUCGGGUUACACACAUGGAAUGGCCCCCACUUGUCCCACCAGGGAAGGAGGAAGUGAGCCAUUUAUCCAUAGGUUCCUGUUGCUCAUGGUUCAGGGGUCACCCCUGUUGGGGACUAAAUGCACAAAGGCAGGCUGAGCAGACCCGCGGGGACCACAAGAAAGCCCUGUGCAGAAAGCAGGGGCUUGAGCGCCCAUCUCAGAAGCUGUCCUCUGCAGCUGCCCUGAACUGCAGGUGGGCCAGGGCGUGGCUGGGGCCCCGCAGUCUGCAGUACUGUCCUUACUGAGAAACUGAAUAAUGGAUAGAAAGUACUUUCAGAAGUUAGAAGUGCGGCUCACGUAUACAUUACAGUUAUUCUCUGGAGGGGCUCCAAGACCUGGCUCAGGCAAAACCUAUUUCUCAGUCAUGCUUUAGUCUGCCACAGGGUCUGGUGCACAGUAGGUGCUCAACUAGUGAACAUGCAGUCAGAUGGUAACAGCUCCUUAUACAAAGGCAGCACCUGUCCUCCCCACCUGUUCAGAACUUGCUAACCCACAAGGCUGUGCCUGUGACUCUUCUGAACAGCUGGCUGCCUCUUCCCAUCUUAGGAACCCAAAGGCCUCUAGUGUGGGCCGAGAAGGUCAGUGCUGGAUUUAUCUAAGUAUCUAGUUGCUUCCUACGUGUGUGGACAUGCACACGUACAGCCACAUGCACACACGCUACCUACACACAUAAGUUUCCAAUUAUUUUCUCCUUGACAGGUAUGCGUGAGGUGUUUAUUUGCCUGUGCAGGCAUCUAGCAUGAGAGCAUGAGAUGCUAGUGUUACCUGAUCUUCAAGGGAUGGGCAGUGGUGGGGGCAGAGAAGCGAGGAAGCUCGAGUCCACAGGAACCUGUGAUUGUGGUUGACAACCUGCAUUCAAAAUCGUCACUCCCUCCCGGAUUGUUAAUGUCCAUUUGCUCCAAGGUCACUCACCAGGGCCAGCCGACCCCCUCACGGCCCACCCACCAGUACCAGGAUGGAGCAGCAUGCGCAGCCGCAACAUGCCAGCAUAACAACAAAAGAAUCAGUUCAGGUGAGAAGAUGGCAGGCAAACUACAGUCCACAGGCCAAAUACAGCCCACCACCUACCUGUUUUUGGUUUGUGACACCUCUUCUGUGCCUGAGAUCUUCACCCUGGGAGGUCGUGGUCUGCGUGUCUGUACUGCUUCAUGGGAUGCGGUGGUGGCGACAUCUGCCUGUCCUGGAGAGUCUGCUGAGUCCCCAAAUGGAGGGUUUCUAGGGACCUGUCCACACCUUCUAAGAAGAGACUGUGACCCAGCCUCUGGGACUGCCCAUGCCUGGCUUCGUGCGAGGACCGGGGUCUGCCAGGCAGGGCUGUUUGCAGGAGACAGCAGGAGGACGGACAGCACCCUGAGAUGCUGUGGAGCAGACGAGUCUGCAGCAGUGCUGGGGAAGCAGCGCAGGAGAGAACCAGCUGACCCCCGCGGUGCAGCAGAGAGCGCGUGGAGCCACCUGGGGGCUUCGGGGUUCCUCCGCCCUGAGGCACAGAAUCUACUAAAUAUUUGAACACAUUUGUAAGCAUUUCUUUGUAAGGCAUCAGUGACGUACAGAACCAUACUAGUUUCGGGUAUACAGCAUGGUGACCCAGCAUUCAUUUGCAAUGUACACAUUGCGAAGGGAUCCCCACAAUAAACCUGGUCAACAUCUGCCACCACAUUUACCGACAGAAUUUUUUCCUUAUGGGAGAAGUUUCAAGGUUUGCUCUUUUAGUGACUUUCAAAUAUGCAACCAGUGUUACUGACUAUGGUUGCCAAGCUGUGCGUUACAGCCCCAGGACUUACCUAUUUUAUACCUAGAGGUUGUACCUUUUGACCCCUUUCACACAGUUGUUCUCCCCUGUCCUGCACCUAUGGCAACUGCGGGGCUAUUCUCUGUAUUUAUGAGCUUGGUUUUUAUUCAGGGUUUUUUGGGGUUUUUUUGCUUUAUUUUGUUAUGCUUUUAGAUUCCAUUUAUAAGUGAGGUCAUAUCAUAUUCAUCUU